rnacentral:rRNA from 1 species
CCUACGGGUGGCAGCAGUAGGGAAUCUUCCACAAUGGGCGAAAGCCUGAUGGAGCAACGCCGCGUGGGUGAAGAAGGUCUUCGGAUCGUAAAACCCUGUUUUUAGAGAAGAAAGUGCGUGAGAGUAACUGUUCACGUUUCGACGGUAUCUAACCAGAAAGCCACGGCUAACUACGUCCCAGCAGCUGCGGUAAUACGUAGGUGGCAAGCGUUAUCCGGAUUUAUUGAGCGUAAAGGGAACGCAGGCGGUCUUUUAAGUCUGAUGUGAAGGCCUUCGGCUUAACCGGAGUAGUGCAUUGGAAAAUGGGAGACUUGAGUGCAGAAGAGGAGAGUGGAACUCCAGGUGUAGCGGUGAAAUGCGUAGAUAUCUGGAAGAACACCAGUGGCGAAAGCGGCUCUCUGGUCUGUAACUGACGCUGAGGUUCGAAAGCGUGGGUAGCAAACAGGAUUAGAUACCCUAGUAGUC